CCCUUAGACGUUCUGGGCCGCACGCGCGCUACACUGACCAGUGCAACAAGCAUCCGUCCUUGGCCGACAGGCUCGGGCAAUCUUUGAACGCUGGUCGUGAUGGGGAUAGACUUUUGCAAUUUUUGGUCUUCAACGAGGAAUUCCUAGUAAACGCAAGUCAUCAACUUGCAUUGAUUACGUCCCUGCCCUUUGUACACACCGCCCGUCGCUCCUACCGAUUGAAUGGUCCGGUGAAGCGUUCGGACCGUGGCCUUUGGACGGUUCGCCGUCUGUUGGCUGCGGGAAGUUCGUUAAACCUUAUCAUUUAGAGGAAGGAGAAGUCGUAACA
rnacentral:rRNA from 1 species